CUGGAGGGGUCCGGAGGGAAUUUGUGCAUUGGAGGGGUCUGGUUGGCACUGCUGAAGUCUGAUUGGUGCUGUUGAAGGUUGAUGGCUGGAGAAGUACGAAAGACACCGGAGACAGUCAGUCAUUGUAGAAAUCUGGUUGUUGGAGCCUAUCCAUUGUAGAAGUUCGUCUGGAAUCCAUCCACUGUAGAAGUUCGGAUGGAGUCCAGUUCUUGCAGAAGUCUGGAUGGAGAUCGCUUAUUGUAGAAGCUCGGAUGGAGACCGGUUGCCGUGGAAGCCCGGAUGGAGACAGCUUAUUGUAGAAGCUCAGAUGGAGAUCGGUUGCUGUGGAAGCCCGGA
rnacentral:lncRNA from 1 species